rnacentral:tRNA from 1 species
UCUCUGGUGGUGCAGUGGCUAACACUCUGCCCUCCCAAUGCAGAGGGUCUGGGUUUGAACCCUGGUCGGGGAA